rnacentral:rRNA from 1 species
CGUGUAGGCGGUCAGGUAAGUGGGACGUGAAAUGCCUCGGCUCACCCGAGGAGCGGCGUCCCAUACUGCUUGGCUUGAGUACGGGAGAGGAUGUGGGAAUUCCUGGUGUAGCGGUGAAAUGCGUAGAUAUCAGGAGGAACACCGGUGGCGAAGGCGCACAUCUGGCCCGAUACUGACGCUGAGGCGCGAAAGCUAGGGGAGCAAACGGGAUUAGAUACCCCGGUAGUCCUAGCCGUAAACGGUGAUCACUAGGUGUUGGGGGCAUUGACCCCUCCAGUGCCGCAGCUAACGCAUUAAGUGAUCCGCCUGGGGAGUACGGCCGCAAGGUUGAA